UCGGUUGAAAGCAACGCAUAAUUUUUUUAUUGGCGUUUAAAAAGGUUCCUUGCGCCCAGGAGUCGAGUUAAAAUUCAUCUAAACUACUCAGGAGUGUUUCACGAGGCUCAACUCUCUGGUUUCACGGUAGUUUAACUACAUUUUGCCGCUUUUUGCCGAUUGUUGCGCGAUUCCUUGUUUUCUGCCGUAAAAUAGUCGACUUCGGCAGCAGCCGUAGUGUGGACUUUUGACCCUCUUGGAAACAAACAAAUAAUUUUACGCCAAGAAGAAUCGCGCCGAAGUGUGGACUUUUGGACUCUUGUAAAACAAAGAAUAUGUGACGUCAAGAAGAAUCCCGCCGAAGUUGUCGAAAUUUACAGUAAAGAAAGAUUGAAAUUAAUUUACUCUACCUAUUGUUAUUGCCUCCCGGUAGCCGGUCGGUUGGAUAGGGUAGGAUUCAACAUGUCUAAAGGCUAAGAAAGUUUUGUAUUGACUUGCAGCAAGUAAAUGGAAGGCUUGAAUAUAUGAUUGCGGAAUGAAAUUGAGCAAUGUUGCUAAAAAGAGGCAUGACUGGAAAACAUUUAUUCUCUGUGUUGCCUGGGAUUGCAGAAGAAAGCAGUUUGGCAAAAUAAACAGACUUUUUUGAGUUAACAAAAUUAUAGCAUUAACUUUAUAAUGACAACGUUUUCAGGUACAUCUGUUUACUUUUAAUUCCAUUGAUUCUUGAGCUUUCUAUUGCUGUGCUAGCAAGUUUGAGCAUGAAACCGUUUCUAGUUUCACUUUCAACAACUCUAAAAAGGCCUGUCUCAAACUCAAAGUUCUUGUGUUGUCUUGGGGUACCCACAAGACAUUUGAUAACAAUACAAUAAAUCGAAUAGCUGCAUAACAACUUGUAUGUUUGCUUUGUAGAUUCAAAGCUCCUGGCAAUAAACACUUUUUAAACGAUUUCUUAAAAUGCCACAAGGCCACAGACGAGAACACUAGUCGUGACUAGUUUUGGGAGAAUGACUUCGACAAGACUUGAUGAUGAUUGGUUUAAAAGCUCUAAUCUUAUAUCGAGAUAAUUCCUGGGAACGAUGUUAAUUAUAAAAAUUAGGAAAAAAGCAUGGUUUUAAUUAAUGGGUGAAAUGACGAAAGUUUUUCACAUUUCACUAAAGAAGUUAUGCUGACAGGCAUGGAAAAUGUUUGUGGUUCUACCAACAUAACCAAAAUGACUUAGCAUACAUAUACAACGCUAUCAUGAUGGACACAAAAUGUGUAAAUGUAGUUAACGAUAUCUGUUUUUAAAUGAUUUGUUUUAUUAAAAAUUUCAAGUAUAUAGUUAAUGUUUAUCGCAUAACAGCUAGGUAUUUCCAAGUUUGAUUCAACAUUUUAGAGUCUUAGCCAAUAAGGGCUACAUAUUUUUGACUGAAUGUUGUGCUAAAUCAGUGGUCAUUCACUUGUUGUGGUAGGUUGUGUUGUUUUUAAUUAGCUAUUGCUGCGUAAAAACCAAAUUUUAUAUAGCGGCCUCUACUUGUGCAAAACCAUGAUAUAAUUUUGCUAUUUUUAUUUUAUUUAUCUGUUGUUGUUUAUGGUGUACUAUGAUCUAAUAAUACAAAUAAAGCCUAUUUACAAUGCAGUUUGUGUUGUUGUUGUUGCUUAUUUCUCUAUCUUUCUCCUUUUCCAUGUGAUUAAAUGUUUCAAAUAGAUUAAAUAUCAAAAGUUUUAUUAGUAAUAGAUACCGUUUUGCUUGUCUUUUACAGAAUAUAGUUUCUCCAAAUUCAUAGCCUGAAUAUUGCCCCCAAAGCAAUUAUAUUCACCAAUAACUUACGAAAACAAGCCUGCAAAUAUUAUUCUGGAUGUGGAAAAAAGAAGUUUUUCUGGCUAGCUAAGUAUAGUCUAUUAUAAGAUUAAAAAGGGAAAACACGGGGCCAAAUUUUCACGCAGAUACAAUUUACUAUAUACAGGUUAGAGCAGGAUCGUAUCAUGAUCGUCUAUCGCGGUGAAUGAACAUAAACAACACUAUAAAUAACAUAACGAGUUAUCAUAAUGGCAACCUGGCUACAAGGUUGGCAUUACUUGUAUAAAAGCCAUAAUGGCUCUAGGGUGGUUAAAAAGUGACAGUUUCUGGGCUCCUAACAUAAUAUAAUAUAUAAAAUGAAACAAACCGACCUGGCUACAUGCAAUAUCUGUCCUGAAGAAAUAUCCGAAGGCCCCUCCUGAUACCAGAGGCACACGAUCCAAAAUCUGCUAGAGUCACCGGCCGUCAUUGGACGCGCUGCCAUUAUAGUAAUUGAAGCCAAAAGAUGGAGUUGACGAUAUUAGUAGGUUGCAGUGAUAGAUGAUGAUGAUGGAAAACCAAACUCCCCUAUGCAUUUCUAAAGCAUGCCGUGCACUCUUCUAUUUCUGUAUGUUUAUGCUAUUCCAAAGCUGUAUAUCUUCGCGCGGCUUGUAAAAUUUUAUGCAAGGAAAAGUGUUAUGUGACCAAACCAAACUAUUAGCAAAAUGUGAUGAUGGAAACUAGUUGACUUUAGCUGCUCCCAUUUUAUAGGUAGGCAAGGCAAUCUUAGGGGCCUGGAUCUACAACAGUAUUGGUUAGUUACCUUGAGGGCCCCUAGUGUUCAUGCCUUGUGACCACCCUUUUCACUAGUAUACCAUUCUAGAUUUGGAAUAACAUUGAGUUUCUAAAGUAUAUCCUUCAAUGAUGCUAGUAGCCAUCUUUGUUGACACUUGAAUACUGAAUGCAAUCAAAGCCAAGCCUCUCAACAAGGUAUAAGUACUUACUUCAGGAACCGCAAUUAACAUGUGGUGAACUGUUGGUCCACCACCAUGUAAACCUAACAGAUUAUUGGAAACUUUGAUAUCUUACCCUGAGGCAUAUUUAUACAUAAUAAAUUGCUAACAUACAUGUAACAGUAGAAACCUCUGUUCUCCUAUAAAGAGCUUUUGAGACUCCUAUAGUGAGAUUUUUUAGUUCACAAAGAAACACAUUAAAAGAGACCUACGUUUAUCAAGAUCUAUGUUUAGAUUCAGGAUCUUUUUCAGACCAUUCGCGUUUUUCUUCUCCCUUUUUAUUAACUUAUUUUUAGGGGAUUACCGUAACAUAGCCCAUCAUCAACCCCGCGCACACGAUCCCCGAAAUGUAAAGGAAUGUCAAGAACCGUAAUAUUUUAAUAUUUGGAUUGAAACAUUUAAUAACUUAUGAAAUAUUUAUAGCCAUUUUUUGCUAAGGGCCGGCUUUCUUUUAGGGCUCAUUUUGAGAGCGCGCUACAAUGAAAUUGAUUACCCUUAGUAAAUAAUUAACGUAUAGCGUCAGAAAAAUUUUACACAAACAGAAAAACCUUUUCAAAAUUUGUUAUUGUUAACCUGACAUAUCCAACUUCAAGAAAUAACCAGGAAGGAGAUCUGGAAAUAAAAAAGAAAAGUUGUUUUUUCUAAAAAUACUAAAUUAGAGUUUUUAACUCUAAAUUUAAGUUUUUAAUUUUAAUACCUUUUUUAAUUGCGAUAGCGCGAUGUUUUGGUUUCGGCUCAGCCCUACGGCAUUCAAAAGUCACAUUAAUAAAGUUAUUUUAAGAUAACAAGUGCUAUCUUAAGAUAACUCUAUUAAUGUGAUUUCGGAAUGCGUGUAUAUUCACAUAAAUGUCUUGAUUGUAAGAUAACUCGAGUUAUUUUAAGAUAACAUAAAUGUGAUAAUUCUAUCUUUUCUAAUGUGCAUAUGUGUAAAUGAACGUUGCUUAGGGUGCGGAUACGUAAAGUAGCUCACCAAAUAACAGCCUACAUGAAUUUCCGGCCGUAUUGACAUUUAUUUUGAUACGUCAUUUGUAUUGUCCUUGUGGUGUCGCGUAUGUGCUCUGCUGUAGAGUUCGCUCUGCGGUGGAGAACAAGAUGCAUUUUGUUAGUUUUGUGUUGUGAUGUAUUGUCCCGUGUUAAUUAUGUAAAGAGAAUAAUUGUAAUUUUGGUACUAUUUUUAGUUAAAUUUUCUGCACAUCUUGCACAUCUUUUUUUCUGCGCAUUCAGUCUUCACCAUGUCGAACAUACAUUUUUGUAAUAAAUUCGCUGUUGAGUGAAAUUUUUCUUUCAUACAUCACAGGAGUUGUCCUGUAUCUCAGCAUCUGUUUUAGUUGUUUUCUCUCACAUGUAGUUGGCUUGGCUUACGCCACUAUAUAUCUAGUUGAAUCUUGGCAUUCAUUUUUUUGCUUCGCUAAAUUGUAUUUUUGGUAAUAUAGAACAGACAGCCAAUUACUGAUAUGAAAAAUCGUAAGAAUAAUAUCAAACGAAGAUCCAUACAAUGUGAAUUGAAGAAACUGAUUACAUUACAACGAACGAGUGAAUGAUCAGUGAAAAACAAUCUAAGAAAUGUAUGGAUGCUGAGUCGUUCACAACACAUGUAAAAAAGUGAGCCAAAUAUAAUUUUUUUAAAAAAAUCUGCCGAAUUUAUGGAUACUGUGUCGUUGAUAGCAAGCACAAACUGUGUAUUUGCUUUCCCCUCUUUCCCCUUUAGCGAAUGUGUGCAUGAGAGUUCUGUAACCAUGGAACCAAUAUACGUCUUAUGUGCCUUUAACAGAACACUGUGUGGUGAAAAUCAAUAUAAGAAUUGCGUCAAUGCUGUGGCGGUUUCACGCGCUGUUAGUAAAAGUAUGGAUGCUGUUUCUAACAAAACAUUAUAAUCAAUGCAAAAUGUUAUUUUUACAUUUGUUAAUGCUCGGGAACUGCAAUCUUUCUAAAAAGAGUAUGAAUGUCAUGUCAAGCAAAAAAGGUGUACUAAGCUAUGUUGUGGAAAUCAUUGCAGCAAAUAUAAGGUCGUGUUCCCAUAAGUUCUUAAAAAGAUGAUGG